UCCGUAGCUGAAAUAGCUCAGUUGGGAGAGCAUUAGACUGAAGAUCUAAAGGUCCCCAGUUCAAUCCUGGGUUUUGGAA